rnacentral:rRNA from 1 species
AUUGAACGCUGGCGGCAGGCCUAACACAUGCAAGUCGAGCGAGCGGCGGACGGGGGAGUAAUGCCUAGGAAUCUGCCUGGUAGUGGGGGAUAACGUCCGGAAACGGGCGCUAAUACCGCAUACCAUCGGAUGUGCCCAGAUGGGAUUAGCUUGUAGGUGGGGUAACGGCUCACCUAGGCGACGAUCCCUCGCUGGUCUGAGAGGAUGACCAGCCACACGGGAACUGAGACACGGUCCAGACUCCUACGGGAGGCAGCAGUGGGGAAUAUUGCACAAGGGGGGCAAGCCUGAUGCAGCCAUGCCGCGUGUAUGAAGAAGGCCUUCGGGGUGUAAAGUACUUUAAGCGGGGAGGCGUUACCCGCAGAAGAAGCACCGGCUAACUCCGUGCCAGCAGCCGCGGUAAUAC